rnacentral:rRNA from 1 species
GACGAACGCUGGCGGCGUGCUUAACACAUGCAAGUCGAGCGGUAAGGCCCUUUCGGGGUACACGAGCGGCGAACGGGUGAGUAACACGUGGGUGACCUGCCCUCAGCUCUGGGAUAAGCCUGGGAAACCGGGUCUAAUACCGGAUAUGACUCCAUGACGCAUGUUGUGGGGUGGAAAGCCUUGUGCGGCUGAGGAUGGGCCCGCGGCCUAUCAGCUUGUUGGUGGGGUGAUGGCCUACCAAGGCGACGACGGGUAGCCGGCCUGAGAGGGCGACCGGCCACACUGGGACUGAGACACGGCCCAGACUCCUACGGGAGGCAGCAGUGGGGAAUCUUGCGCAAUGGGCGAAAGCCUGA